UUAGGACACACAGACACUCUCUCUAAAUUAAUUUUCCUAAGGUAUAUCUCGCGCCCCUUGAAUCAACGUUUUGGAAUGUUAAUUACAGAUUCUGGUAUUGAUGGAAUUGGAAAUAUAAUCCUUGAUUCCAAUCAGUCCUGCUUUCAAGACCAAGUCUAGCCAUGGGGUGCGACACCAACGGAGAUGAAGGCGAAAUCGUAGCGUGGAAGGAGGGGCAACAUUCCAGGGGAAAGUCGAUUGUGGCUGGGGAGAGGCCCCGGUCCUGGGCACGUGGUGGAAUCAGCGGAUGACGGCUUUCUUUGAUGUUGCGGCGGCGAGUGGAAGAGGCGAGGGGGUUCCGACGAUGUAUCUGCAUCCUGAGGCUGUGCGAAGCAUGGAUGCAUAAUUCCAGAAUGCUGUCAUCGCAGGCCUCUAUGGAUGAGGUAGGAGAUCGGGAAUGGACUCCGCCUAUGUUUUCGAAACCCUUCGAAAGCAAUGGACGACUUUGAAAAACCCAAAGUUCACAGUGGAUGGAAAUGGGCUUUUUCUUCAGACCGAGGAGGAACUACAAGUGAUUUUGAAAAGGAAGGCCUGAAGGUGGGCAUGCGUAUGCUCAUUGCAAGCAUGUGAGGUGGGUGCCUGGAAUAGAAAUGAAGAUCGAUGAGGAGGAGAGAGUCCCCAUCUAGGUAUGUCUCCCAAAUCUACCGGUGAAUCUUUGGAGUGUAUGUACGUUGAAGGGAGUGGCGAGAGGGCUGAACGUCAUUGAGAACCAAUGGACGAAGGAGCAGACACGGGGGAGCUAUGCUUGAAUCAAGGUGGACGUCCCCCUGAAGUUCACCCCAUCUCUGGUAGUAAAGUUACGGCUUGGAGGGCAGUCGAAUCCUGGAACAAGAGGCAAUCUAUGUAUCAAGAAUUACUUUCCGUAAUCACUGUGGAGCCACCACACAUUGCACUGGCCGCUGCCAGAAUAUCCUCAAGCCUCAAGGAUGCUUUAGAUAAGAAGCCUAGCAUGUUGUCUCACCUUGAUGACCUGUCGAUGAAGGUGAAAUUUGUUACUAAGCCAUCGCCACCACCCAAGGGACGUGAUCCCCAAUUAGAAGGGAGAGAGCAAAGAAACAAGGAUGACAGAGCCUCCAACUUGGAGACAGGGGCCUAGGCGAAUGGGGACGCAACAGGGGGCAGCUAGGAAUCCCAGGAAGGAGCAACUAAAGGAGAGGCUUGGAAUGGUCGACACAGGUUCCUGGAAGGAGGCUGGAUUACCUAGGAAGGACCUCCCCUGCUUCCAAGAAGGUACUCUUUGGCGACAAAAGACGUAAGUACAGAGGAUCAUGGGUCAGGAGCCAAACCAAAAACGUGUGUGGGAAAAGGCCCCAGCUCAAGUAAGCAGCGUGGGACAAAAGAAAAAGGAAAGGGGGCUGGUUAGGGAGGACCUAAGACCCCCUUGCAAGGAAUCAGCAAUCUUUUCCCCCUAGAGGAAGGAUGGACUAGGUUGGGGCUUAAAAGGAGAAAGGAAGUCUCUACUUCCCCCAUCCUAGAUAUUGCUAAGAAUGCAAUGGAAGUCAAUGAGGGUAUGGAUGUCGAGGAGGCUGCUAGCCCACACACCCCACAUGAAUAUCCUGACCUAGAAUAUGAGAGGUGCUGCUGGGGCAGCAGCACAAAGGGACCUCAUUGCGAUGUUGGCAGAGCGAAAGCCUUACAUUCAUCUUUGUUGGAUACUCAAUUCAAAGAAUUGACCCUUCAAAGUAUCACCAAGAGGGGUGGCAACUUAUCUGUGAAGCCGAAUAUAGAACAAGCUGAUGGCCGUGCUCGUGUGGUCUGCCUAUGAAAUAACUCAAAUUUUCAAAUGAUAGACUCUCUUUGCUGAAGAUGGUGGAUUUCGGCUCCUGUUUGUCGUCCAAAACCUUGCUCAAACUAUAAGCGCCAUUGGAACAAGUCUUCCCACCAAUCAGUUGCUGCGAGCGAGCUGUUUGAUAGAACUCAGCAGCCUGAUCCAAUCUCUUCACACCCCUAGGGUCAUCAGCGUGGACUUUAAUGCAAUGUGCGGGCAUAGCGACAAAACUGGUCGCCCUCCACUGCUUAAAUCCUGCAUUGAUUUUAACCGGUUUAUUAAUGGGUGCAGGCUACAGGAGAUUGCCGAUCCUAGCUGCUCAUUCUCGAGGUCGAACAAAAGGCAUAUGGAGGACCUCAUCUUGUGCAAAUUAGACUGGUGCCUAGUGAACCAGUCGUAGCAGGAAAUAGACAGUUGGGUCAGCAGUGUGAAGCUCCUUCUUAGGCACAUUUCUGAUCAUAAGCUAUCAUCCUAUCGGUUCAUCAUCGUCAUAACCAUGGCACCUUCUGCCCAUUUCAGAUUUUUCAGACCAUGGAUGCACAACGUGAAGACUAAGGAGAUCAUGGGGGAAGCAUGGAUACGGCAGGCUCAGGGGUCCCGGAUGAUCCAACUCUUAGGCAAGAUGAAUUGAGACAAAAAAGGAAUAUCCCAAUUUAACAGAGCUAACUUUGGGCUCAUAGAUGAUCAAAUUAAGUCUCUCCUUGCAGAAUUGGAGGAGCUACAGGUUGGGAUUGAAGGAGGGUGUGUCCAGGCAGUGGAUCGAGAGGACAGUGUGCGAGAUAGACUGGACAUAAUGUUGAUGCUGGAAAAGGUUAUGUGAAGAGAUAAAGCCUAAUGCAAGUGUAUCAAGGAAGGUGACAGGAACACUCGUUAUUUCCAAGAGGUAGUGAAAGGAAGAAAAUUGAAAAACAAGAUUUCUAAUCUGAUCAUGAACAUUGUCUCACAUGUCAACUAGGUGGAUAUCAUGGAUGCAAUAACCGCACAUUUUGAGUCCUUCAUAUAGGAUAAUGAGGCUAAUGGAGACCUCAUCGACCCCAUUGCCAAUCAUCUGUUGGUAGAGGAUGAGGAGAACUGUCACUUGCUUAGGCCUAUGGAUAAGAGAAGUUUUUGAGGCUAUCAGGAAGUUGGAUAAGGAUAGUGUGGCAGGACCCUACGGCUUCCCAAAUCACUUAUCAGAGUUAAAAUUGGUCAUGCAAGUCUUAAUAUCCUUAAAAGAACUGAUUUUUAGAGUAUUUGGGGAGAAAUUUUUAGUGAAAUUUUAUCCAAAAUAGACUUAUAAGUAGUCCUAUAGGCUGGGUUCAGUGAGGUUGAAAAGCUCAUCUGGAGCUCUGGAAUUGUACGUAGGCCAAAACAAUCAUUUUCUUUUGAGUCAUCUUUUUCCACCAACAUAGUAUAUAUGCCACCUAUACCUUAGUUUAUGAAUUUCUUUGAUUCCUGGAGCCUUUGCCCAAACUAAAUUCUUGAUUGGAGCAUGUUUUAGCGCAAGAUCACACCCCGCAGUAAAACAAUCAUUUGCUUUUCA